rnacentral:rRNA from 1 species
CCUACGGGGGGCAGCAGUGGGGAAUAUUGGACAAUGGGGGGAACCCUGAUCCAGCCAUGCCGCGUGUGUGAAGAAGGCCCUCGGGUUGUAAAGCACUUUCAGUGAGGAAGAACGCCUGGUGGUUAAUACCCAUCAGGAAAGACAUCACUCACAGAAGAAGCACCGGCUAACUCCGUGCCAGCAGCCGCGGUAAUACGGAGGGUGCGAGCGUUAAUCGGAAUUACUGGGCGUAAAGCGCGCGUAGGUGGCUUGAUAAGCCGGUUGUGAAAGCCCCGGGCUCAACCUGGGAACGGCAUCCGGAACUGUCAAGCUAGAGUGCAGGAGAGGAAGGUAGAAUUCCCGGUGUAGCGGUGAAAUGCGUAGAGAUCGGGAGGAAUACCAGUGGCGAAGGCGGACUUCUGGACUGACACUGACACUGAGGUGCGAAAGCGUGGGUAGCAAACAGGAUUAGAUACCCUAGUAGUC